rnacentral:rRNA from 1 species
AUUGAACGCUGGCGGCAUGCCUUACACAUGCAAGUCGAACGGCAGCGCGGGCUUCGGCCUGGCGGCGAGUGGCGGACGGGUGAGUAAUGCAUCGGAACGUGCCCAGGAGUGGGGGAUAACGUAGCGAAAGUUACGCUAAUACCGCAUACGUACUGAGGUAGAAAGCGGGGGAUCGAAAGACCUCGCGCUCAUGGAGCGGCCGAUGUCGGAUUAGCUAGUUGGUGGGGUAAAAGCUCACCAAGGCGACGAUCCGUAGCUGGUCUGAGAGGACGACCAGCCACACUGGGACUGAGACACGGCCCAGACUCCUACGGGAGGCAGCAGUGGGGAAUCUUGGACAAUGGGGGAAACCCUGAUCCAGCAAUGCCGCGUGUGGGAUGAAGGCCCUCGGGUUGUAAACCACUUUUGGCAGGAAGGAAAUCGCCUGUGCUAAUACCACGGGCGGAUGACGGUACCCGCAGAAUAAGCACCGGCUAACUACGUGCCAGCCGCCGCUGUAA